UACGUAGGGUGCAAACGUUGUUCGGAAUCACUGGGCAUAAAGAGCGCGUAGGCGGUCUGAUAAGUCUUGUGUGAAAGCCCCCGGCUCAACCGGGGAAUUGCACUGGAUACUGUCGGGCUAGAGUACAGGAGGGGAGAGCGGAAUUCCUGGUGGAGCGGUGAAAUGCGUAGAUAUCAGGAGGAACGCCAGUGGCGAAAGCGGCUCUCUGGUCUGUUACUGACGCUGAGGAGCGAAAGCGUGGGGAGCGAACAGG
rnacentral:rRNA from 1 species